GAUGAAGAACGCAGCGAAAUGCGAUACUUGGUGUGAAUUGCAGAAUCCCGUGAACCAUCGAGUCUUUGAACGCAAGUUGCGCCCGAAGCCAUUAGGCCGAGGGCACGCCUGCCUGGGCGUCACACGUCGUUGCCCCCCCCAUCUACUCCUUCGGGAUUGCGGGGGGCGGAUGAUGGCCUCCUGUGUGUCUCGCCGCGCGGUUGGCAUAAAUGCCAAGUCCUCGGCGACGCACGCCACGACAAUCGGUGGUUGCGAAACCUCGGUUGCCCGUCGUGUGCGGUCGUCGCGCAUCGAGGGCUCGAAAAAAUUGCCGGGUUCCGGCUCGGCUUUCAACGCGACCCCAGGUCAGGCGGGGUUACCCGCUGAAUUUAAGCAUAUCAAUAAGCGGAGGA
rnacentral:misc_RNA from 1 species